ensembl:lncRNA
UCUCCUCCUUCUUCCCAUCACCUCAGGGAGAGAGGCUCAGGCCCAGGCUGAAACCUCACCCAGAAAACGUAGAGGUCUUCAGCCUCCAACAUGAGAUCUAUGCUCUUUGCCUUGGGUUACACACAGAACCUUGGAAGCUGAGGAGCCGCAGGAGACAUUUGCAGUGAUAGAUGACAAAUCAAGGUCAGCAUGAAACACCAAGUAUGUAUCUCUGGUGGUGGAGCUGGUGCUGAUUCCUGAGCCUGUCCUGAAAGCAUCUCCUGAAGGUGCAGCUGGGCUCCUCUCUGGGCUCUCACCUUCUGCUCCCCAGCUGGGAUGGGACCAGUGUGCUUUCAAAAGGAGAAGCAGCCUAUGAGAAAACAGCUUUCCCUCAGCAGCAUCUCCCUUGUAAAUGCUCCUUGUUCCCCAUCCAGAAGUUUGCCAGAGCUGGAUAAAGCUGAUUUCCUCCCCUGGUGGCAGCAGCGGAUGCAGAGAACAAUAGGUAUGGUGCCUGCUCAGGGAACAACUCCUGCUCCCCUGUGCCAUGCCCAGCCCUCAGCUGGGGAAUGGAGGGACCCACCCGAGGGAAAAGCCAGCUCCAGAGGAGUGGCUCGGAAAAGAACAUCGCACAAAUUCAUGGAAAGCAGUGAUUGAAUGAAGAAUGAGGUCAUGCAACUGUUCCAGGAAAGGUGCAGCCAAAAUAUGCGUUUAGAGCAGAAAUUUUUUGAAAUGGAUAAAAAUAAAAGAAUCUCAUCUCUAGAAAGAUGCAGGAGGUCAGAGGUACCUGAGGGCAAGCAGCCACAGAGCUGUGACCAUCCCCAGGAGCCCUUUUUGGUGUCUGAUCACUGAUGUGAAACUGCUUAUUGCAAAACCUGCAGCAGGACGUAUCUAGUGAUCACUGUCUCUGGGUAAUGUAGAUAAAACAUUUGCUUUUUUAUUUUUCCUUUAAUAGCGGAUGGUGAAAGAGUCUUUAAUCCUCCCAACGUGGGCUGACUGCAUCUGGUUGCUCGUUAGCAUCCACCCUGGGCCACCGCAGUCUCAGGCUCUAUUUGGGAUUACACACCUCCCCAAAAGCUGUUCUCCAGUUUGGCUUGUGUGGUUAUCCAUCCCAAAUGCAGCUCUUUACUUCUGCAAGUUUGGUCUAGCUCCUUCCAAAUUAUCACUGUGAAUUUAUUCAUAUCGUUGCUAGUCGUCUGCCUUCCAGACGCCUUGCAGCCCUCCCAGCCCGGAGUUAUUGUAAUGCACUCUUCAGUUGAUCAUCUGGGUUGCUCAUGCAAAUUUUGUAUGCCUGGGCACCAGACCCCUUGCAGUUUGGCAGAGAGAAUCCAAAGCCAUAUACUGAGCAUAAGAUGUCUCCUGUGCACUGUGUACCCACUGCAUGGCCUUCUUCUGGCUCUUGGGGGUGAACAAGAGAUGUGGGAUGAGCAGUCUCUGAGCUUUGGGGAUGCAGCAGAUCCUUUCCAUGCAAUGUCAGAGGUUAGCCAUGUUUAGCUAUUUAGAGCUUGGCAGUGUGUAGGAAGGAGGGAGAAAGCAUAAGGGACCGGCGUAUGUUCAGAUGCUCCGUAACGAUGUCAUCUGAAGAUGAUUUACGUCGGAGCUGGGACAUAUGCUGUGCUUUAUCACCGCAGUCAUCUACCAGGAUGCGUGCUGCCACCUGAUUGCAUGCCCACAUUUCUUCUUGGCUUUACACUUCACUCGUUCCCUGCAGAGGCACUGAGUGUGAGUCCUCAAGGUGAGCAAUACUGUCCCUGGGUUAUGGGAUCUCUUUGCUUUGGUCUGCACUCAUGCAGGUUGGCCUCUCGGAGCUUGCUGGGGGAGCCAAUGCACCUCUUAGCUGCCAGGUGCUAAAAUCCAUCAGAAGAAGGAUAAGGACAACUGGGGAAAAUUGAUGGCAUUAAACAUAUUGUGUUUCCUGUGAUUAGAAAUAAUCGACAUUUUUCUACAUUGUUCCUACACAUUUACCUAACUUGUUUGUAACUGUUUCCAGUGCUACACUCCUUUACUUCCCAAGCUAAUUCGUUACCUGUCCUUAAUUAACCCUGUCAUUAGGAAGGUUUCCUCAAGCGUCACCCAAGUGUGCUGCACUUUGAUCCGCCAUGUCACAUCCUACCCAUCAUAGACAAGGAGAACCAUGCACUCCUUUCUCUGAGAGGACAUUCUGUCUCUGAGGCCUAUUGGGAAGACUCCCCUCUCUCUUUUUUGCCAGUUUCCUUCAGUUCUUCCUCACUGGGUUCUGUUUUCAUCACCUUUCCUUCAGCCUAUGGGGCUCUGCCCACUUUGGAUCCUUCCAUGGUACUCCAGCUGAGAUCUCAACAGGGGUGAGCCAUGCCAAAGGGCAACUCAGUGUGCUUCACACCCAACCACUGUGUUAACUCAUCCCAUCUAAUGGGAAAGAAAAUAUUGCUGGCUCUCGUGGCUCUGUUGUAUGGGUGAAGAUGGAUAUUGUGGUGGAGAAGACCAGAGGAUGCUCCCCUUCCAGGCUGGGAAAAUGAUUUUCCAAAGUGGAAAAAGCAUCUUUCACAAUCCAGAUCUCUUGUAGCAGGGAAUUUGAUUUUGGUGAUAUUUUCAGGCUGACUUGGGUUUUAGUUUGCCUUGUUUUGCAAGGAUGAGAACAUUUUGUGCUGAUGAAAUCGUUCAGCUUAAUUGCACACUAAAAGCAUGUUGAUGUUUAUAUUAUGUGAGUAUUAAUUUUAAUCUCCAAUAUUAAUCAGUAGCAAUGUAAACAAUGUAUUGAGUAUUAUCCUUGCCAGGCUCUAUUUGUAUAUAAUUCAAUAUUUACAACAGGUGUUUAAUAUUUUGUAUUGUGUGAUAACAUUUCUCUGUCACUGUUCAUCAGGGACAGGAAAAGAAAGAAAGGGUUUAAAGUGCAGUGAGGGAGUUUAAAUUAAAUUCCAGGAGCAUUUUCCUUA